ensembl:lncRNA
GAAACUUGUCCUUUUACUUUUGACGAUAAUUAUGAUUUGUGCUGUAUUUACAUUUUUUUUAAAAACUCAACAUUAUUUUACAGAUAUUUGCCAUUAAUUGAAAGCAAAAAUAUGCAAAAUAAGGAUUGAAAAAUGGUAAUUUUAAAACUGUUCUUUUACAGAUUUUUCUGUUUUGUUAAAUUACAGUUAUCUUUUAUGUGCACAGAAUUUAUAAUAUUAAUUUGCAUGUUUAAAAAAAUGACAAAAUUGUCGGUUUUAAUUAAUACAUUAGUUAAUAGGCAUAAUUAUGCGGCACUCUGCUCUAAAUGUUCAGAAAGUGGAAUUUGUGGUUGUGAUUUUUAUUCCCUUCAUUGCAGAGAGCUUCAUGGUUGGUCACAGUAAUGAAGUGACUCUGGUAAAGCUGUCUCAAAUACCGUUUUUUAGGCUCUGAAGCGUCAAUCGAUUGUAAAUAUUGAACGCUUUGGAAGAGCAUCGCUCAGCAAACCAAGAAAAAAUAAAGUAACUUUUUUCAGCCAGAUGUUAUGUUGACUGGGGUUUCAUUUGUUUAUAGACAUAAUAGACAUUUAUGUUCAUCAAAUGGUCCAAAAUUAUAGGAAAAUGCACAUAUUUAUGUCAAACAAGACAAAAUAGACUCACUGUCUUUACUUCAGCAAAUAGAUCAUUCUCACUCAAACAGCCCAUUCUGAGCCAGAAUAAAACCCCUGCUGCUUCAGAAUGGCAGUCAGAUGUGGUUUUAUAUGACCUGAGAGCUUAGCUGGUUGCCCAGAAUCACAUCUGACUGGAUUAUUUUACGCUUACAAGUGCAGAAAUAAUUACCAAGUAAUAUUAAAUAAGUCUGGCAGCAUAUCAAAAGAUGACAAGACAGUUUACACAGAGACAAAAGAUUAACCCUUUUAAAACCACAGAGAUCACCUGUGACACAGGUGCACGUGUAUUUCAAAUUACUGUAACUCCUCGCUACUUCGUGCAAUUUUAAUCAUUCAAACUGCCCCUGAAAGCUGCGAAACGGGGCUUUCUGGUGCUAUUACGUGCAUUACGGUAAUGACUGAGUGCCGUGUGGGGAGAGGGAGGAAAUGAGUGGAAAUGAGGAAAUGAGAAAAUGAGUUUUAUUGUGCUAAAAGGGUUAAAACCUGCAAAAUAUAUCAUCUCUAUUUCAUUGGGGCUCUCAGAUGUGUUGAGCAGACUAGAUUACAUUUCCCUCCGCUGUGCUGGAGUGGAGGAAAAAAGAUCUCCAACACAAUUACCUGAAAACUUCAGCUAAUAAAAUGUGAGACCAUAAAAAAAAAACGGGUGAAGCAAUCCUUUAAGCGCUGCCUUCCUUCAUGAUGGUUCCCUGCACACAUCAGUAACCAAAUCACAGCUGAACUCUGCAUCUUAACGUGUUUGAGCCGGUAUUAAAUCACUCUGUGUGGAGAGUGUGGGUUUAAUCACUGACUGCAAAGAUGCUCCUCGGGGGGGUUUUCUGAUACAUAUAUCACUAAUUAAAUACACCGCUUGGCAUAAAUGCUACAAAUUACUUUUCGAAAAUCUCAUGAAACUUGCAGGUGAUGAAUCGAUGCUGCAGGCUGCUGUUUCGUGCUAAUUUGCUCGUCGAGCCCCCGAAUGCUUCAAUCAGUGUUUUCUCUGCCUUUUACAGGCAAAGCCUCAUGGGAAAUUAUAGCCUAACAGCUUUACAGAAACUGCAACAGAAUUCACCACAUGCAUCCAGAGCAUUUUGUGUUAACAGAAAUUAACUGAUUUUAACUGUGGCCACAUACAGAGCUAAAGGAAACCCUGCAGGAGCAUCUUUAGCUAGUAAAUGCAUGACUGUGUUGAUCUCUGAAGUGUGUUGAGGUUAAAGGUGGCACCGCAGCAUAAGCGGCGCUGUUCAGCUCGCAGCCUACAGGGUCGAUAUGUGAGUAACGUCUGCAUGUUGUAAUCUUCCCUCUGUCUCUGUCUCUGUCUGUGUCUGUCUGUCUGUCCAUCACCGCCUCGUUUCACUGCUUCUCAUAACCAUCAGCACAGCAUUUCAGUGACUACUGAGCCACAUUCACAGAUAAGCAACGCCAGCAGAGUCCGCAACCUUGGUAACCCUGCCCUGGUAACCCUUGCUAACCCUUGUCCCUCUGUGUCUCUCACUCCUUCCAACCCCUCUUCCUGCUAACCCAAUCGAAACCCAACAAAUCGCUCCAAAACAUUGCUUCCUGUGGUGGCGGUGGGCGUUCAUCUUUGUUUUGGGCUUUCACUGACUCUGCCUAUGUGACUGGGUGCUGGUUGGCUGGUGGCCUGGUUGGUCGGCAAACGCAGAAGGCGAGGAUGUCACUGACGGCGGCGCUAUCCCCGCAGUCCAACUGCCGUCCAACGUCUUCCAGAACUACGGCGAGGUUGAGGAAGACGACCCAUACCGCUACUACCAGCCCAAUUACCCGGCGCCUCGCCCCGUGUCGCCCGACGACCCCGCACUCGCCCUCGAUAACGUCGAGCUGCGGUCCCCCGGCGUCCACCGCAGCUCCCGGAGCGUGAACAUGAAGGCCGAGGAAACUGUGUUGGAGAGGAGACUAAAGAGAGAAGCCAAGAUACUGCCAGGACUAACUAAUUGAGAGCAAGUGAUUGGAGGACGGAGGGCUGCUCACUGUUUCUGAUUGGGCGGCUUGGAGGAGUUAUGGACUAAUCAACAAGUGCCUGAUGUAGAGGAUUUCUUAUGGACAUUGUAGAGGGGACGGGAUGGGGUAAUCAGGUUGGGACUAUUUUAACUCAUCUAUGCUAUUGAAUUAACUUCAAGAAAACAGUUUUAUGUUGUUUUAUUGUUUUUGUCUCAGUCAAGUGUAGGCAACUUUCCAUUGCAGGAACUCUGGGCUGCCGCAGUUCAUUCCAACAUUUAUUGGAUUGGAUUUUUGAAUCUUUCUGGUCCAUUUCAGUGUAGGAUCCAACAGCUUUCAGCCAAGAUGUUAAUUCAGAGUGCACCAAAACAACAACAAAAAAAUCUACUGGAUUUAACUACAGUUCAUAUGUAAUAGUAUGUUGUUGAUGGGGAUGUUUGAAGCUCUUCAUCAAAACAUCAAUAAAAUAAUCAACGUUGAGACCUACACAGCAUUGUUUCGGUGUCUCUUAGAAGCAACUACCCGAGAGUAGGUACUUUCUUUUUUGCCAAAAAUAGCCCUGCAGAGGUUCUACAGGUUCUUGUAGUCAGAACAACCAGAAAGGUUCUGGCCAAGUUCCUGCAGCAGAAAGCAGAACCGAACUGUUUAAAAUUUGUGGUCUGUUGAAAGUUUAUCCUGUUCCUGUGGUCAGAUUUCUGAAACAAGUCAUUCUUUGGAGAAAUGUGCUGUUUUCAGGUUCUAGUUCCUGUUUGGUAUCAGUUUCUUAUCUGGUUGGUUAAGUGCCUCCUCAGGGUCGACCGAGUACCACCACCUCCUUGUUACCUAAACUUGUCCAUGAAGGUUCCAUGGAGAACUCAUGAGCAUCAUUUAUCUUUGAAGGCCUUCUUCUCUGUUGGAAGGUUUCAAUUCAAUCUAUUACUUUUACAAUUGCUCAAUUAUAAAAGCUACAUUGUUUUUUUUUAAUCUAUCUAAUCUGUUAUGCAUUGUUCCUGUUUUACAUCAGGGUUGUGUGAUUAUUACCUCCGGUUCCUUGUUUUAACAGCUCUGCAACUAGACAGUUUCUAGCUUCAGAACAAUUAUUUAUGUAAAAUUUUGCAUGUUUUUUUUUUUAAAUUUACGACGUGAUGUACCUUUUUUGUUUUUGUUUUUUAUCUCACAGUCAUAAAUUUAAAGUUUAUUUUGUUUCUUCUUCAGACUUUCAGUUAUUGCUACAGUGUUAAACUCCAACUGACAUUGCUCAGUGUUUGAGAAGACUGAUAAAGAAAAAAAGUUGUAAAAACAAUAAUAGUUUUCUGUUAGAAAAAGAUUAUAUUUCCAUAUAAAUGUGCGUUGGUUCUGCUGGUGGAAUCUGUCAAUCUCAUGGUGAACGAUUCGUGUAAGUCAGUGGGGCAGAAAUUUCACAAAGAUUUGUUGAGACAAUUGAGUUCUAUUUUGAAGACAGAGAGAUGUUUCCCACUCUGUGCGCUUUAUUAAUAUUUGAUUUCUUUCUGUUUUUUGAAUUUUGACUCCAACACCUCCUGCCUCCUCUUCAUCAUUAAGAUAUUUGGAGAGGAAAUUGAUGCCAUCUGUUUCAGGACGAAACGCUCUGAUUUUUCUUAUUUGAUGCAGGAACCAGAGACUGUUUCAGUAACAGAAACACAACAGCUCGCUCUGUUUGAGGUUACAGUGAUUUUAAAUUCAUUUGUGUUUGAUUUCUUUUAAAAUUGUUUAACUGCUGAAGAUCCGUCAUAUGAAAAUAAGUCUAGGUGCAUUUUUUCAUCCAUGUAUGUGACAUUUUCUCCUUUGCAGUGAAUUCAUUUGGCUAAAAUUUAAGCACACUUUCAACUUUUCCAAAUAUCAUCUCAGUCCUGUGUUUCUGAGGCCUUCAGGUCAGCAGUUCCCUCUAUGCCUCUGACCAGGAUGUUACAAAAUAAAAUCAAGGAAGUAAUUUAUUUUUUACUUGGUAUUGAUUUUCUCAGAACAAUAAAACAGAAGUACAACCGUU